UCCAAUCUCUCACGUGUCCAUCCGCGGGUGGGUUUCCAGCUGGCUCGGGUACCGCCAGGCCUUGUCACACACGUCGCACACAUAACGCUUCUCCUUGUUGUGCCCCGUCAUGUGGUCCUCCAUCGA